UUUAAUAACUAAAUCAAUCAUUUGUCUUCCUGAACUGACUAUUCUAUGGACUAUUAGUCUAUUUUACCAAUAUCAUAUAGAAACAAACUAAUAUCUAUUCUACAUAGCCCCACUCCUAUCUAUGUAGCAUCCUCGCAAAUACAUAAUUGAUUCCUAUCAAGAAACUACUUAACAAAACUCUACAAAAUUACAAUUUCCUCUGGCCCACCGAAUUGAUCAUUUGCUGCAUUAUCGAAUGUAGGUUCCAUUGAAUCUGGUUCUAAAUGUAAAUCUUCC
rnacentral:lncRNA from 1 species